GAUGAACGCUAGCGGCAGGCUUAAUACAUGCAAGUCGAGGGACAGCACAGGUAGCAAUACUGGGUGGUAACCGGCAAACGGGUGCGGAACACGUACACAACCUUCCUUUAAGUGGGGGAUAGCCCAGAGAAAUUUGGAUUAAUACCCCGUAAUAUAGUUUGAUGGCAUCAUCGGACUAUUAUAGCUACGGCGCUUAAUGAUGGGUGUGCGGCUGAUUAGAUAGUUGGCGGGGUAACGGCCCACCAAGUCUACGAUCAGUAGCUGAUGUGAGAGCAUGAUCAGCCACACGGGCACUGAGACACGGGCCCGACUCCUACGGGAGGCAGCAGUAAGGAAUAUUGGUCAAUGGACGCAAGUCUGAACCAGCCAUGCCGCGUGAAGGAUUAAGGUCCUCUGGAUUGUAAACUUCUUUUAUUUGGGACGAAAAAGGGUCUUUCUAGAUCAACUGACGGUACCAGAUGAAUAAGCACCGGCUAACUCCGUGCCAGCCGCCGCCGUAAAAC
rnacentral:rRNA from 1 species